GGGUUGUGAGGUUAAGCGACUAAGCGUACACGGUGGAUGCCCUGGCAGUCAGAGGCGAUGAAGGACGUGCUAAUCUGCGAAAAGCGCCGGCGAGGUGAUAUGAACCUUUGACCCGGCGAUGUCCGAAUGGGGAAACCCAGUGUGAUUCGUCACACUAUCGUUAACUGAAUACAUAGGUUAACGAGGCGAACCGGGGGAACUGAAACAUCUAAGUACCCCGAGGAAAAGAAAUCAACCGAGAUUCCCCCAGUAGCGGCGAGCGAACGGGGAGCAGCCCAGAGUCUGAAUCAGCUUGUGUGUUAGUGGAAGCGUCUGGAAAGUCGCACGGUACAGGGUGAUAGUCCCGUACACGAAAGCACACAGGUUGUGAACUCGAAGAGUAGGGCGGGACACGUGGUAUCCUGUCUGAAUAUGGGGGGACCAUCCUCCAAGGCUAAAUACUCCUGACUGACCGAUAGUGAACCAGUACCGUGAGGGAAAGGCGAAAAGAACCCCGGCGAGGGGAGUGAAAAAGAACCUGAAACCGUGUACGUACAAGCAGUGGGAGCACCUUCGUGGUGUGACUGCGUACCUUUUGUAUAAUGGGUCAGCGACUUAUAUUCUGUAGCAAGGUUAACCGUAUAGGGGAGCCGAAGGGAAACCGAGUCUUAACUGGGCGUUAAGUUGCAGGGUAUAGACCCGAAACCCGGUGAUCUAGCCAUGGGCAGGUUGAAGGUUGGGUAACACUAACUGGAGGACCGAACCGACUAAUGUUGAAAAAUUAGCGGAUGACUUGUGGCUGGGGGUGAAAGGCCAAUCAAACCGGGAGAUAGCUGGUUCUCCCCGAAAGCUAUUUAGGUAGCGCCUCGUGAACUCAUCUUCGGGGGUAGAGCACUGUUUCGGCUAGGGGGCCAUCCCGGCUUACCAACCCGAUGCAAACUACGAAUACCGAAGAAUGUUAUCACGGGAGACACACGGCGGGUGCUAACGUCCGUCGUGAAGAGGGAAACAACCCAGACCGCCAGCUAAGGUCCCAAAGUCAUGGUUAAGUGGGAAACGAUGUGGGAAGGCACAGACAGCCAGGAUGUUGGCUUAGAAGCAGCCAUCAUUUAAAGAAAGCGUAAUAGCUCACUGGUCGAGUCGGCCUGCGCGGAAGAUGUAACGGGGCUAAACCAUGCACCGAAGCUGCGGCAGCGACGCUUAUGCGUUGUUGGGUAGGGGAGCGUUCUGUAAGCCGUUGAAGGUGUGCUGUGAGGCAUGCUGGAGGUAUCAGAAGUGCGAAUGCUGACAUAAGUAACGAUAAAGCGGGUGAAAAGCCCGCUCGCCGGAAGACCAAGGGUUCCUGUCCAACGUUAAUCGGGGCAGGGUGAGUCGACCCCUAAGGCGAGGCCGAAAGGCGUAGUCGAUGGGAAACAGGUUAAUAUUCCUGUACUUGGUGUUACUGCGAAGGGGGGACGGAGAAGGCUAUGUUAGCCGGGCGACGGUUGUCCCGGUUUAAGCAUGUAGGCGGAGGUUCCAGGUAAAUCCGGUACCUUUUAACGCUGAGGUGUGAUGACGAGGCACUACGGUGCUGAAGUAACAAAUGCCCUGCUUCCAGGAAAAGCCUCUAAGCAUCAGGUAACAUCAAAUCGUACCCCAAACCGACACAGGUGGUCAGGUAGAGAAUACCAAGGCGCUUGAGAGAACUCGGGUGAAGGAACUAGGCAAAAUGGUGCCGUAACUUCGGGAGAAGGCACGCUGAUAUGUAGGUGAAGCCCCUGCGGGUGGAGCUGAAAUCAGUCGAAGAUACCAGCUGGCUGCAACUGUUUAUUAAAAACACAGCACUGUGCAAACACGAAAGUGGACGUAUACGGUGUGACGCCUGCCCGGUGCCGGAAGGUUAAUUGAUGGGGUUAGCGGCAACGCGAAGCUCUUGAUCGAAGCCCCGGUAAACGGCGGCCGUAACUAUAACGGUCCUAAGGUAGCGAAAUUCCUUGUCGGGUAAGUUCCGACCUGCACGAAUGGCGUAAUGAUGGCCAGGCUGUCUCCACCCGAGACUCAGUGAAAUUGAACUCGCUGUGAAGAUGCAGUGUACCCGCGGCAAGACGGAAAGACCCCGUGAACCUUUACUAUAGCUUGACACUGAACACUGGUCCUUGAUGUGUAGGAUAGGUGGGAGGCUUUGAAGCGUGGACGCCAGUCUGCGUGGAGCCAUCCUUGAAAUACCACCCUUUAAUGGCUGGUGUUCUAACGUAGACCCGUGAUCCGGGUUGCGGACAGUGUCUGGUGGGUAGUUUGACUGGGGCGGUCUCCUCCCAAAGAGUAACGGAGGAGCACGAAGGUUAGCUAAUCCUGGUCGGACAUCAGGAGGUUAGUGCAAUGGCAUAAGCUAGCUUGACUGCGAGAGUGACGGCUCGAGCAGGUGCGAAAGCAGGUCAUAGUGAUCCGGUGGUUCUGAAUGGAAGGGCCAUCGCUCAACGGAUAAAAGGUACUCCGGGGAUAACAGGCUGAUACCGCCCAAGAGUUCAUAUCGACGGCGGUGUUUGGCACCUCGAUGUCGGCUCAUCACAUCCUGGGGCUGAAGUAGGUCCCAAGGGUAUGGCUGUUCGCCAUUUAAAGUGGUACGCGAGCUGGGUUUAGAACGUCGUGAGACAGUUCGGUCCCUAUCUGCCGUGGGCGCUGGAGAAUUGAGGGGGGCUGCUCCUAGUACGAGAGGACCGGAGUGGACGCAUCACUGGUGUUCGGGUUGUCAUGCCAAUGGCACUGCCCGGUAGCUAAAUGCGGAAAAGAUAAGUGCUGAAAGCAUCUAAGCACGAAACUUGCCCCGAGAUGAGUUCUCCCUGAGACUUUAAGUCUCCUGAAGGAACGUUGAAGACGACGACGUUGAUAGGUCGGGUGUGUAAGCGCAGCGAUGCGUUGAGCUAACCGAUACUAAUGAACCGUGAGGCUUAACCUUACAACGCCGAAGCUGUU
rnacentral:rRNA from 1 species